rnacentral:lncRNA from 1 species
UCAUCAUGGCCCCUUGGACAUCAGAGCGUAGAUUAUCUACUGUGUGGGGUCUUUGGCUCCCGUUUCUCAUGACUGUCAAGAGGAAGACAAGACUGAGGGUUACUUUGAGUAGAGUUUUGGGGUCAACUGUGCUGCUAUUGUUGGGCUUCCUACAUCUUCAGAACCUGUUGAGCAGGUUUAGGUUCCCUGUAGAAGGCUGGAAUUCAGAUUAAAAGAGGCCUGUUUACCUCCGGACUCCCUGGGACAGCCCCAAGGCUCAGAGCUGCGGCUUCUUCCUGAGGGAGAACAGGAUGCCUUUGUAAGGAGGGGAGAGGCUCCAAGAGGGUAAAGCUGUUGGGGACUGCUCCUAAAAAUCUAGUUUAUGAAUUGACUGGAUGAAACGCUACAUGGUAAACCAAUGAACACAUCUCACAUGCUGAAGUAUUUUUAAGAAGGCUGUCUGGGAAAUCAUGCCACUAUCUUCAGGAGGGGUCAGGAGUGACUUGAAGUGUGGGCAUCUCUUUAAAUCUGCACACCUUGGCUGGGCAUUGGGGACAUGUGCUGUAAGCUAUAAAGAAACAAAGUCCCCCGGGAAAUCGUGCUGGUCAUCCCUUCGAGUGGAGCCCAGAGGCGGGAAAACAUCUGAGCCAAACUUUCUCUUGACUCUGCUCAGAACUCACUGUGGGGUUCUGGGCAUUUCAUUUCCUCACAUGGGCAAUGUUGUGGGCCAUCUUGAUUCCUGGCCCUCCACCUCAAAGAGUAGCCCCCUGCAGUCGCUAAGUAAAGUGCGGAAAGCACACAGUGCAGUCAAUCCAGGCUGCGCUGGCAUCUCUUGGGGAGCCUGAAACCAUGCAUGCCGAUGCCUGAGCUCUAGCCCAAGAGUUCUGGUUAACCGGCCUGAGGAGGGGCCUGGACAUCUGUAUUUUGUAAAAGCCAUCCAGGUGAAUCUUAUAGAGCUAAGGGACCCGAGGUUGAGGACCACUACGCCAGAGUAGUAAGAUGAACACCAGCUCAGCAGCAGCAGCGCAGCCGCCACCACAGCAACCCCGAGAGCACCCGAAACAGUAACAGAGGAGCCAGCCUUGGCUGGGAGAGUGCCAGGAAAGGAAGAUGCUCGCUUGGAUCCAGGCUCCACCUGGCACUGGCUGGGACCACAGACUCACUCUUCAGUCAAUCAGCAGGCUAGCACACAUUUGUUCAGUGCGCGCUGUGUGCUGCACGGGGCAGCGGACGGGGCAUGCGGAGUAACAGGCCCCAGCCUCCCCCGGACACGCAGAGUCAGCAUGACAGAGGUGCGAACCGGAUACAGAGGGCACACAUUCCACCUGGGGUGUGACAGGAAAGACGAAAUAUUAUCGGAUGUUGUAGCAGGUCCUAAAAUACACAGACCCACAGACUGAAGAAUACUGUCCUCAGUCUGUAAAAGGCAAGCCUCGAUUGGAUUGGAUCAAGAUGGGGAGCGUUGGGAAAGGACAUUUCUUGCAAACAUCCACUAAAGGGGAAGGAGCAGUGGAGGUUGUAGCGGCUGGAUAUCAUUUCAGAAGAACCUGUCAUUUUUCCAGGAGAAGAGACUGUAAGAGGAAAGUCCUGGAGGGUGCAUAGGAUGUUGCUCAUUUAGCGGGAUAAAAGCCAGUCUGCAUGAGAAAUCGCGCAUUCUGAGCACUGCAGGGGCAGUGCUGGAUUUGUUCAAGGCUGAGAAAGGAUGCCUUAUCCCGGCGAUGCGGUUCACGGCAGGGCGAGCGGCAGUGACGGGGUACUGAGCACACACCUGGGAGCCUGAGAUGGGCGACCCUCACUGGCCAACUGAUCCAUCCCACCAGACUGCAGCCUCAGUUUCUCAGCUUGUAAAAGUUAUAUGAUACUUGCUUUAGAAUAAACUCAUGGGAUGUAGAAUUCAAAAUGAUAAAUAUUUUUAUCAAGUUUCUCCCGACCCCCUAACUUUUAGGGAUUUACUUCUCCCCUUGAAAACCAGAAAUAGUGGGAGAAACAAGAGAUGUGACUCUAAUAUUACUUGUCUUUACCAACAAUGUUAAUUUCUCUCUAAGGAGCUGGGCAAGUUACAUUGUAUUUGAUUCCUGACUACUGUCUCUAAACCGAGGAUUCAAAUUGUUAGACUCAAUUCAUGACCUUGUUGGAAAUUUCCAGCAAACCCGCUGCUCAAUCACCUUAACUAGGAGAAAAUAUUUUAUGAUAUAGUGGAAACAAAUGAUAACAGUGUUGAGAGGGACAAGCUUAACACACAGAAUCCAGACUUCACACGUUCACGUGGGGGAGAUAGAAGUCGCGGAGUAGGCUGAUUUCUGAUGGCAACCUGAUUUAAUUUGCAAUAUGACUGCAUCAGUGGCUGCUCAAAAAGCUGUUUCCAACAUUUUGCAUCAAUAUAGCAGCUCUGGGAUCCUGAAGAAAUUUGUAUUUGCUGUCUAAGACCGGAAGGGUGGAGGAAUACAGGUACCCCUAAGCUAAGUAUAUUCGUGAUGAAAGACGAAUAGGUUCAUUACAGUGUUGUUUGUAAUAGGAAAAAUUGGAAACAAUUUAAAUAUGUAAAAUAAUUAAAUAAACAAUGAUACAUUCCUUUAUUCAGAUGCUGUAUGAUAUUUAAAAAUUGAGGAAGAUUGAGGUAUUGACUCAAUGAAAAAUGUCCAUGUGGUAGGAAAUGGGAAUAAUUACAGAAUGAUAUGCAAAUCAUAAUUCCGUCUUGGUAAGAACAAACAAGUCAAUCUAUGUAUACGCUGGAUGUUAGUCCAGGGACUCAGACACACAUACACCUCCUGCAGGCUGGCAGUGUGGGGCGUGCACACGUGCAGGGAUGGGUGAAUUACCAUGGGAGUGGAACAUGAAGAGGCAGGUGGUACACAUCUUCCCUUUCAGACCACUGGAGUAAUUAUAUAUGUAUUUUAAAACAAUAGACAUCUUAUACUUUUGUAAUAAAAAAGAAACAUUACCAACACAAUAGAUGUGUUUCAUCAAAUUAAAUGUGUUAUACUUUAAAACCAGCAUCAAGUUAAGACAUUUUACUUAAGGCUGCUGUGAAAACGUAUGUGUUUCUGAGUCAGGCCGGCGAGCCUAGCCGUUAGGACUUGAUGCUUUUAAGGUCUUUGUGCUCUUGCCCCAACUACUGUGUUCAUUUAAGAGAGUAUACGUCAGCCUUCUAUCUGAGCAGUCCAGCGAUUGAAGCAGUGUAUUUUAGCACUCCAGAAUAACUGUCAUUAGGCGAUCAGUAACUAGCAGCCUAUUACAUUCUAAGCAUGUUUCAAUGCCUGCUGUAAAUGUUUUGACAAUAGCCUCUGUGCACUAAUAACAUUGUGCAUAACAAAGAAUAACAGGUGCAGCCAAAAGGGAGGCAAGUUCCUCCAGGAUGUGUUUUCAAUCUAUCAUGUGUGCCUUGACUUUUCUAAAUGUGUGAAAAUAAUUAUUAUUGCCACUGUGGUGUAAUUGGUCUCUAUGGACAACCUAUGGCGGUGAAAACCUUUUGGAAUAAAGUGAGAAAUCUACCCGGAUGAGUUCAGAAGUCUGUCAAGAAGCACUCUAGUCAAAGCCUGCCCUUCUGGGGGGCCACCCUCUUUCAUCCUGAAGUGAUCCUUCCAUGGUCUUUGUGGGCACGUUAUUAGUGGGCAGGAAAAGGUAAGGAGUGUGAUGGGAAAACAAGAGGCAGGUUUUCCCUUUCAGUGAUCAUAGGCCAGCAAGCCCUCGGAUCGACCCCGUACCCACGCCGACGGAGGAGAAGUGGACACGUGCUCAGUUAGAGAAGAGAACGGCACCUGCAGUCACCUGGGGCCAGAGGAUGUGGCAGACGCAUUUCAGCAGGUCGAUUUUUUUUCCUUUUAAUGCAUAUAUUUGGAAAUCCAGUCUAAAGUGCAUUGAGCUUGGAAGAGAAGGGUGGAAUGCCUUUCCCAUCAUCAUAGUCAUUUGGAAAUCGAGGAAGGUGGAUUUUUCCUCCCAGAAUUGGUAGAGUUGCAAUUUCUGUUAGGAUAUGCAAACCAAACCCAUAUAUUUCAUGCUAUUCUCAUCAAGUGCAGUCAGCCUAAAAGUAGAAUUUAAAGAAAACUCAAGGCCGAUUCAAAAAGGUACAAUCGAAGUCCUUUUUAGCUAUCUCGGCACUGAAAUCAUGGACAGGAAGAAGAAUAUGUCUCUAUCAUUAAAUGGAAUAAAAAUUCUUGGAAAACUAAUUCGUUAAUAAUGUGAGUGGCUGCAGAGAAAAAAACUAAUCCAAAUUCAUUCACCCAACAUAAAAUAAAAUACACUGGUUCUCCUCCUCCAUUUUUGAGCUUGCUAGUUUGGGGAGGUUCAUUUUACAUAGUUUUAUGAACAUAAGAUAAAUGUAGCUUUCUGAUUAGAUACAAGCUUAUGGUUCUUUCUCUGUCUCUGUCUCUGUCUCUCUCCUUCUUGGUAUAAGUCACUUCAUCUCAGUUACUCUAACAAGAAUUCAUAGUCUUUGCAAACCCUAGUUUUUAAAUCUGUGUCUGAAACCAAGUAGAGUGCUGGCACUUUAAAAAUCCUCAUUGGCUGAAUCUUCUCCCCUAUGUAAUUCUGGUUCAUCUACACUGGAGAGUGCCAGGCAAGUUCUUCGACUCUAGCAUCUCCUUCAUGCAUUGAAUCCUCUGGUAUAAUAGACAUGAAUGCUCUAUUGCGUGGCUGUAAUUACUGGGUUUGCGGGCUCUGACUCCUUAGACUGUUUAAUAAAAUUUAAAAGUGUAACACAUUUUGCUGCAGAAAAUACCCCCAUAUGUUUCUCCUGGCUGUUGCGUUAUGAAUUCUUAGCUCUGACUUAGAUCACUCUCACUCUUCGGCACUCCUGUAUCAUUGAUGCAAGAAGAGUAGUGGAAAGUCAAACAAGAUAAAAUGACAGAUGAAGGAUUAAUGGUGACUGAGGACACAGCACUAUACAGAGUAAGGGUUCAAUUCAUAUUGAAUAGAUGGAAAGAAGUAUUCAGGGUUUUGGACUCCAGUCCUGUGGGGUGUGCACUUAAUUGUACUCGGUUUAGUGAGGCUUGAAGGGAAAUCAAGUUUCUGUUUCAGGGAGCUAGUUCAGGGGAACUAAUCAUUUCUGCAGAAAAGAGAGCAGAGACGCCUACUCUGACUGCAGGUGACAUCUCUCUGGACACGUUCUCAGAAACCCUGCACCAGGAAUUGAGUUGUCUUGGAUUCCGACGUGCCUGGUCUGACUCAUGGAAAAUAAUCUAUAAAUUCUACCUUGCUACUGAGCAUCGGAAGUUUGAUUCUAUGUGUCAAUUUCUAUAAGUAUUACUUCUAGAAACACAGAAAUGAAUUAUUUAAUACAUCUGUAGCACAAGUCCUUGGAGAGGAAGCAAGAAUUCAGCAGUUGAACCCAAUUAAAAUUCUUUCAGGAAGCAAAUUCAAACUCCCUUUUGGGUUCAUGAACAAACCACAGAAUAAAAUGUUUCGAAGGCUGACUCACAUGUGUUCUUUAGUGAUUGUAACAACAUUUCCUCUCUGCAGAUUUGAAAAAAUGACUUUCUUGGGUUUGAUCAGUGGAACCCUUGAGUCCUUACUGUGCCAGGCACCACAUUGGGUUCAGGGACACAAAGGUGGAUAAGAAGGUCUCUGCCUGUGAGCUUACCUAUAUGGCAGGGUUACUAUUAAUGAAUUUCAACAAUUUAAGAUAAAUCUAUUAACAAAAUACUAUGUUCCAGCACGUGAAUGCUUACAAAAUGAGGAUGACAUAGGCAUUUUCCCCAAGGUGUUUAAUAUCAAAAGAGAGAAACAGACUCCUGAAUAUCUGAUCACAGCACAAUAUAAUUCAUGCU